CCGCUGGCCCUUUAAGAAGCAGGAAUGUGAGUUCCCGUUCUGCCCAGGAGUAUCGCGAGAGUUCACCUGCGAGCAGCGCGAUUUACAACGCGAUGCAGGUGUUUCUUAUGAAGUGUGAGAACCGGGAAGUUCUUGUGCAUGAAGCAAGACUUUAAGUUUAAAGUCACAGUGGAGCCACUGAGCAGUGAGAUUAAGCGUACUCGUCAGGCUUACAUCUGAAGACCAAACAUCUGUGGUGAAGUUCAUCGCGGAGUGGUUAUGAAGAAGCUCGUGAAUAUGAUCCGUCAUACGGUUGUAUAACUCCGAAUUACUUUAGGCACUGAUAGAACUGUUCUGUAAUGACGGAAGAUCAGCGCAGAAUUCACCAGACUUGUGUCGAUGGACCUGAGCAAGUUCUUUUAUGAGGGUCUUGACAAACACGCCUCAAAGCUGCUGUAUUUGUACCGCUCGAGGCGCCAUGCAGACAUCGCAGAAAGGAGUGCCAUACUGGAGAGCCUGGAUAAAAAUGCAUCAAAUCACAGGAAGAGGGUUGCAGUACUGCUGGGGCUGCCACUGUCCAUGCGGGAGAAUCCAUCUCAGUUCUUACAGAUCUGUGAGCACACAGAUUCUGAAGAAGAGUUAAUCAAGGGCAUGACUGUUGGAAUCAGUACAGUUGUGGAUGACGUGAUGGACCCUAUUCCGUGUGACUGCGGUGAUGUAGCCCUUGUAAUGGAAGAAGUUGUCGUUCUACGCAAUCUUGGUGAUGUACCAAAUGCAUUUGUCAACUUGAUGGGAUUGCUUUAUGCACGUAACAUAAACUACCCCACAAACUUCAAAUACACCUUUGAGGUGAUUCAGAGGCUGUUCAUGAACAUCGGAGCUGAUGCCUGCAGUGCACGAGUACAUUCACUUAAAAAUAAUCUGCUCAAGUAGAGAUGGUGUUAUGCAUUUCUUGUAAGAGAGAUUUCAUGUGGUGUUGUGUUGUGUAUGUUACAGUUUCUAUACCUAAGCAGCAUGACUUCAGUUUUGUUGUAUAUUUUCACCUUUAAACACCGGGCAAUUGAAAUGUAAUGUUGUUAGGCAAAAACAG
ensembl:lncRNA